rnacentral:lncRNA from 1 species
ACGGCAACAGGAUUGCUGUAUGAAGCGGCCCUGAGGGGCUUGGCCAACAUUUCUGAGGGUGGGUCAGGCCUCCAGCCCACAGCGAUCCUCUGCCCUCCUGCAUAGUUGUGCCUGUCACUCAAGGAAAAACGUCUGGAUGACACGUGACACAGCACCGGGCGAUUCAGCUGACCACUGGUACCAGCCACGGUGGAAUACGUGCAUUUCUGUCUACCGUCCCGCUGGGAAUGCUGAAAACUCUGGGAGGAACAUACAGAACAAUUCCCUGAGCCCUCUAAAAAGCCAGCUCCAGCUGUGGAGCUGCACCACUGUGCUGCUGGUCCUGGUGCUGGAAGCCCUGAAACUUUGAUGAAAGACCCAACUCUCCAACCAGAGGAACUUGAAAUGGAGUGGGGUGAAUCCCUGUUUAUUUCUUCCUCUUUACUGUUGCCACUUGGCUCCAGAGAUGGCUCCAGUCAUGUGGAACUACACAAUAGCACAAAGAAUUAAAAAGCUAAGAAAAACCUGAUUUUCUGGACAGAAAAAAAACUGGAAAAAGAGCUCCAGUUGUUUUAAAAAUGGGGGGAUAAUUUU